AAGUUGAUGUGUGACUGGCGAAGCAUGGAUACCCAUGAGGAAGCACAUUGAUGUUACAGCCGUACGCCUGGGCAGAGGUA
rfam:Paenibacillus sp. Soil787 contig_1, whole genome shotgun sequence.